rnacentral:tRNA from 1 species
AAUACUAUGACUGAUUAAAGUGAUAAAUUGUAAAUUUAUUUAUGAAAUAAGAAUUUCUAGUAUUA